AUUACCCAAUCCUGACACAGGGAGGUAGUGACAAGAAAUAACAAUACAGGGCAAUUGUCUUGUAAUUGGAAUGAUGGUGACCUAAACCCUCACCAGAGUAACAAUUGGAGGGCAAGUCUGGUGCCAGCAGCCGCGGUAAUUCCAGCUCCAAUAGCGUAUAUUAAACUUGUUGCAGUUAAAAAGCUCGUAGUUGAAUUUUUGCGUGGUGUUAAUAUUGACUGAUGUCGAGAUUGCACUUCGCUUUUGGGAUUUUUCCCUUUUUACUUUGAGAAAAUUAGAGUGUUUCAAGCAGACUUUUGUCUUGAAUACUUCAGCAUGGAAUAAUAGAGUAGGACUUUGGUUCUAUUUUGUUGGUUUGUGAACCUUAGUAAUGGUUAAUAGGAACGGUUGGGGGCAUUCGUAUUUAACUGUCAGAGGUGAAAUUCUUAGAUUUGUUAAAGACGAACUACUGCGAAAGCAUUUGCCAAGGACGUUUUCAUUAAUCAAGAACGAAAGUUAGGGGAUCGAAGACGAUCAGAUACCGUCGUAGUCCUAACCAUAAACUAUGCCGACUAGGGAUUGGAGGUC
rnacentral:rRNA from 1 species